rnacentral:rRNA from 1 species
GAUGAACGCUGGCGGCGUGCCUAAUACAUGCAAGUCGAACGCAUUGUGGUUGAAAUGAUAUGAAGAACUUGUUCAGAUUUGAUUUUCAACAUUGCAAUGAGUGGCGAACGGGUGAGUAACACGUGGGAAACCUAUCUCUUAGCAGGGGAUAACAUUUGGAAACAAAUGCUAAUACCGUAUAAUAAUUAAAAACCGCAUGGUUUUAGUUUAAAAGAUGGUCUUGCUAUCACUAAGAGAUGGUCCCGCGGUGUAUUAGUUAGUUGGUGAGGUAAUGGCUCACCAAGACAAUGAUACAUAGCCGAGUUGAGAGACUGACCGGCCACAAUGGGACUGAGACACGGCCCAUACUCCUAC